UUCUAUAAAACAAUGAUCAAAAUUGAGAGUAACAAAUUAAGCCUUGAGGUGGUUCUAUUAAGGUCGUAUACAAUUCAUUCUAUUGAAGAUUCUCUAAGCUCCUCUCAAUUAAAGUUAGUCUUCAUUUUAUUUUUCAUACAUGUGAGUAUUGUUCAUUAUAUUUAUAUCUCAUAAUAUCAUGAUAUUUUAUAAAAAGUAGGGCAGCUAUUUUUUUAGUGUUUUUUUCAGAUAAAUUUAAGCCAGAAAGAGUAAAAAACAUGAAUGGGAAAGUUAGUUUUACAAUGACACAAAUAAAAUAUUGCAGGAGAAUGUUAUAUAAACUAUUCAACCAAAAGGUUUUCUAACGGAUGUUAAUAUUUAAAAUAGAAACAUAAUGUGAUUUUCUUCAUGAGGAACAAACUUGGUAUUGACAUUCAAUGUCUUAUCAGGGAACAUAAGUGAUAAUAAGAAUUAGAAUUACGAAGUAGUAAUCUAUAAUGACAAGUAUUGUAGAAUGCUGACAUAUUAACUAGAAGUGUUUGUAACUAAGUAGUAGAUAAUUUGUUUGAACUGUUUAUGUUAGUGAAUUGUGUAAGUCUGUG
rnacentral:lncRNA from 1 species